AUUGAACGCUGGCGGCAGGCCUAACACAUGCAAGUCGAACGGUAGCACAGAGAGCUUGCUCUUGGGUGACGAGUGGCGGACGGGUGAGUAAUGUCUGGGAAACUGCCUGAUGGAGGGGGAUAACUACUGGAAACGGUAGCUAAUACCGCAUAACGUCGCAAGACCAAAGAGGGGGACCUUCGGGCCUCUUGCCAUCAGAUGUGCCCAGAUGGGAUUAGCUAGUAGGUGGGGUAAUGGCUCACCUAGGCGACGAUCCCUGGCUGGUCUGAGAGGAUGACCAGCCACACUGGAACUGAGACACGGUCCAGACUCCUACGGGAGGCAGCAGUGGGGAAUAUUGCACAAUGGGCGCAAGCCUGAUGCAGCCAUGCCGCGUGUAUGAAGAAGGCCUUCGGGUUGUAAAGUACUUUCAGCGAGGAGGAAGGUGGUGAGGUUAAUAACCUUAUCAAUUGACGUUACUCGCAGAAGAAGCACCGGCUAACUCCGUGCCAGCAGCCGCGGUAAAAC
rnacentral:rRNA from 1 species